GCCCCUCCUGCUCCCGGCUUUCAUGUGGAUCAAGGCUGGAGGAUGACAAGCUCCUGACUGAUAGAUACAUGGAGACUUCGCUGGUGAUUUAUUGGCUUUCUGCACCUGACGAGAACCACUAGGCCUAUCUGAGGAGGGAAAUAUAUGGGCUUUCCUGACUCCAAGUGGCAGCCCCGGGGCGAGCAUGUGAUGUCAAGCUGGGCAGAGGAAAGCGGAGCUGUGCACCGGCCUGUGUACUGUAAGCCGGCCCGGGUCGUAAAAGUGUCAGCACGCGAUAUAUUUCUUGCAGGGGAUCCUCUCUGGCUCUUGCCAGCGCCUCUCCCCCGUGGCUGGCAGCCGCCCUAGCCGGGCCUGCAAACAGCGGAUGCCCCAGGUCGCUAUCCCUCCGCCCUGCCCCGGAGCGCCGGGCCCUCACGUUCUCGCUCCAGCCUGGGGUCUCUCACGUGGCAUCUGGCCCUGGGGACGGUGCAGCGGAGGAGUUAAUUGCUGUCACUCCUGACUUCAGCGAAAGAGGUCGAUCGUGGGGUGAGAUAUUGAAGCUGGGGAUUGACCUGUGGACCAAGAGUUUGAUGGGGCAACUCAAUAGCAAACUCAAUGUUCCCAGAGAUGAACCAACUCAUUUCUCCUCCCUCUACCUCCAGGCUUCUUCCUCGGGGUUAGCAGGGGCCUGGAGUGGAUGUUUAGUCUACCGGUCAGACUCCAGGUCUUAUAUCUUGAAACUGUAAGUCCCUGAAUUCACAGACAAUUCAGAGUAAGGAUGGAGGCAAAGAAGAGGACCUUGGGUUUACUGUUCACGAGAUGACCUCAUAAAGGUGUUCAGUGAUGAAGAGGAGUGGCUGAAGAGAGCUUCAGCAAGCAACCACUAGGAUAAUGUUAAAGAUCUUCAGUGGUAAGAAGACAAGGAGCAAAGAUUUUUAUCUUACUUUGUGAUUUUCAUAAUUAAAAAAGAAAGAAAGGAAAGAGACGAGGUCUUGCCACAUUGCUCAGGCUGGUCUUGAACUCCUGGACUCAAGCAAUUCUUCCACUGUAGCCUCCUGAGGUGGCAGGAUUACAGCAUAAGCCACCAUGCCUGGCCUCAGUCACACUUUGGAAAAGAAGACUAUGGAUCUACAUGUUCAUUUUGUGGUCGAAUUAUAACCAACACGCCACUCUAUCUGCCUCCACUCUGCUUUUUCCAUGCCUGUACUUAAAUGCUUCUCAGAAUUUUUAAUGUACUUCCCUGCCUUUUGCCAUAGAUUUUAUACUCACUGAGAACCAAUGUUCUGCCAUAUUCAUCUCUUUAUCUUUCACACUCACACCUAGUGCCUUACAAGUUGCUUUUAGCCAAAGUCACAGGAAACCUGACUCACAUGGAUGUCAAGGGUACUUAUUACCUUGUAUAAGAAGAAGUCCUAGGUUAUGGUGCCUCCAGGAUUGGUUAGCGUAGCUCCUCAGUGGCAUCUCCAAGGGCUCAGUAUGGCUCUGUCUUUUUCCUCUGCCAUCCUCAGCAUGCAGGCUCCUGUUAGAAAUGCUUCUUCCCCAGUGCUGUAAAGAAAUAGCACUUGAACAUAAAUUUUAACUACCUCAGCAAGGCCAUUUUUACUUUCUGCAGAAAGGGUACACUCGCCAGCAGUUUUGCCACAAGAGUACACUGAACAAAGGAGACAGGGUCAUUUAUAACUUUACGCGUCCACGCUACUGCUGUGUCCGGUGUCUGUUGUCUGGAAGGGGACCUCACAUUCUGUAUUUGUCCUGAUCGGCUAGCAACUUAGAACUUUUCAAAAGAGGCAAAGGCAGAGGAUAACAAAGGAAGGAGGAAGUAACUUGUGGAAUGCUGAGAAAGGUAAAAACACCUUCAAAUAAGGAAUAGGAACAGGUAUGACCUAAUGCUUGCUUGGACCAGUAUAAGCAUGCCAGGGUAAAUAUUUAGGCUAAAUUGUGGGAGCUAAGAACAUAAAGUACAUUGAUUUCUUUGUUACAGCUAGCAGAUAUUUAAGAAUGUUAGCACAGGUCUUUGAAUAAAUUUUGCUCCUAAGAGAAGUUACUAUUUAUUCCUAAUUAGAUGGGGAGGAAAGUCUUUGAAGACUUUCUUUUGAACCUCUACUUUACUUUUUAAACUCCCAACCCCAGUGAACCCUCCUCACAGUCAUGAGCCUGCUGUUACCUGCAGACAUGGCAGUCUCUAGGGAUGGCCCUUUGUAGGUAGGAACAAGGAAAUCUUUCUCAGAAGCUCCCAGGCAGACAUCCCCUUGUAUUCAUUGGUGGAACAGAGUACCAUGCCCAUCCCUUAACCAGGCACUGGCAUAGAAAUAGGCUUCCCAUGAUGAAGACUAAUCAGUUUUUACCCUUGAGUAAUGGGAUCAACUUUUCUAAGCAGGCACUUGAGUAAUGGGAUCAACUUUUCCAAACACAUGGUUCAGUGGAAGAAGGUGAAUACCUGAAAAAAAAUCAGGUUCUGGCCGGGUGUGGUGGCUCAUGCCUGUAAUCCCAGCACUUUGGGAGGCCGAGGUGGGCGGAUCACGAGGUCAGGAGAUCGAGACCAUCCUGGCUAACACAGUGAAACCCUACUAAAAAUACAAAAAAUUAUCUGGGAGUGGUGGCACAUGCCUCUAGUCCCAGUUACUGGGGAGGCUGAAGCAGUAGAAUCGCUCAAACCUGGGAGGCAGAGGUUGCAGUGAGCUCAGAUCGCACUACUGCACUCCAGCCUGGGCGACAGAGCAAGACUCCAUCUUAAAAAAAAAAAAAAAAUUCAGGGUUCUACUACCAAGGAAGAAGUUGGAGAAGGAUGGGGAUUGGGGGAUAAAUUUGGUGUAUGCAACCUAUAGUGUCUAACAAAAUAACACAUGAUAGCAAUGUCUAUUGAAUUUCACCUCACCUUAGAUUGAAUUAUUUCAUCAGUUCUAGGAACAGAGCUGUGAGAAGGUGGGAUCUGGGUCAGAAAGGCUUUGCUGGGGAGAAGGAAUAAAACACACAGGGAAGACUGAGAGCCUGAGGCCUCACGCAGCUGAAGAGCCAAUGGGGUGUGAAGUCUCAGUAGGGAGGAGCUGAAAGCCAACCCGGAAAUGCAUCUAUAUACCAAGCACUGCCUUAGGAUAUCCACACACAUUAUCCUAUUGAAUCUUCAUAAGAGCCCUUCAAAUAUACACAGUAUUAUUCUCCUAUUACAAAUGAAGAAAUCAAGGCUCAGAGGAGCUGGUGGCUUACAAGGGUCACCUAGCUAGUGAGUAGCAGAGAGAAUUAUAUUGGCUGCUGACAGUGGCUGCAACCUUUUCUAUAUGGUCCAAGUUUCUAAGGAAUCAUAGGAAUGCAGACCUCAGCCAAACAAAUACUCUGUUAUUAUAUGAGGCUUUGGGUCCCCAACAUCCAAGAAGUCUCCUGGCAAGAUGGGUCACUAAUGAGCAGUGACAUUUUAGGGGGGGUAGGAAGAUUGAAGUGUUAGGAAUGGGGAAGCUAAAAGCAAAUUUACAAAACCCAAUUGGCUAAAAAUAAGGUAGCUAAAAAUCAGUUUUGUAAAAUCAUUCAUUUGCUGAAUUAUUAAUUUUCCAAACUAGUACUUACUAAAUUCUUGUUGAUGUUAGCUGCUCCUAGAGUUUGUAGCAACUCAUGUUGUUUGUGACAGUUUCAACAGACUUUGCACAACUUUUCUACAUUUGGUUUCCCAGAGGCUUUGCCAAAGCCAGAAGAACUAAGUACCAUAGAAGAAUUCUGCAUAUGAGAGAGCUUUGUACAUGUAAUCCUUGACGGAAGAAUGGCCCCCGCUUUCAGAGAUGUUUGAGUGCAUGGCUUAGGGAGGGAUUCCAGGAAGCAGUGAGGAGUGUCCAUGCAGGCAGCCAAUGAUGCUGAAUCAUCCAGAACUGUGCAUGCAGGGACAUGUGUGGCAGCCCCUACAGGCAAGCCGGGGCUAGAUGUUGAAGAAUCCUAAAUGUCAAGUUAGUGAGUUUGACAUUCCCAGGAGGUGCUGAGGAAUCACUGAGUGCUAUAGUGCCAAGAGUGUAGACGAUACCUGCAAGAGUGCCUGGCACACAAGAGGCACCCAGUAUGAGCUCACUGAAUGAAUAGCUCACCUUAGGAUGCUCCAGGUUCUUCUGCUUCCACAUAAACAACAAGGCUGUAAGCAUCCUCCUCUUUGAAGCAGAAGGCUAUUACACUGAUAGUAGUUCUGCUCUCAGUAGGUAGAGGCCACAGCUGAAUCUUUUGUAUUAGGGUAUAAGACUGCUAAAAGUUGGUAUAUUAUUAUUUAAUUAUCAUCAUCACUAUUAUUUGAUAAGUAGCCAUGCUGCAGAAUGGUGCCUGGGAAGUGCUGGGGCCCUAACUCAGAGACUGAUGGCUCAAAACCAUCCUCUGCUCCUAACGUUUAAAACCUCGUGGUGGGAGAACUAGUUAUUGUAUUAAAAUUAAGGUAUUCAAGGAGUUAUAUAAAACAAUGCAUAUUAUAAUCUCAGUUUUAUUAUCUUCUUUCCCAAUCAUUUGUCUAUUGAGGUACUAGAAACAAGUGUAUGAGAAUGUUUAGAAUGUGUUUAAUUUCGUUGAAUUUGAACACUAGGCCAAAAGUGCUAGAAUCUCAGUGAAAACUGAGGCUGGCACCUUCCUGGCUGCAUGAUCUUGAGUGAGCUUCUUAUCCUUUCUGGCCUCCUGCUUCCUCAGCUGUAAAACCCAUAGCACCUACCACAAGAUGUUGUUCUGAAGGUUAAAUGACACUAUGCAUGUGAUAUUUGAAUGAGGUGCUCCCACUCUAACUAUGCUGACAGGUUCUCUCCCUAAGCACCUUGCAUAUUUUUUGGAAUAAGUGUGGUCCAGCCGCAUUGCUUAUUCUCUAAUAGUAGCUAUUUUAUAAUAAAGGGUUGAAUGUCUCAUGUAAUUUAUUGAAUACUGUACUGAAAGUGAAAAACAGAAUGAUCGUAUGGGUAUGCAAAGCAUGGUUUCUGCUGAGUGCACAUGGCACA
rnacentral:lncRNA from 1 species